AGCGGUAGCACAGAGAGCUUGCUCUCGGGUGACGAGCGGCGGACGGGUGAGUAAUGUCUGGGAAACUGCCUGAUGGAGGGGGAUAACUACUGGAAACGGUAGCUAAUACCGCAUAACGUCGCAAGACCAAAGUGGGGGACCUUCGGGCCUCAUGCCAUCAGAUGUGCCCAGAUGGGAUUAGCUAGUAGGUGGGGUAACGGCUCACCUAGGCGACGAUCCCUAGCUGGUCUGAGAGGAUGACCAGCCACACUGGAACUGAGACACGGUCCAGACUCCUACGGGAGGCAGCAGUGGGGAAUAUUGCACAAUGGGCGCAAGCCUGAUGCAGCCAUGCCGCGUGUGUGAAGAAGGCCUUCGGGUUGUAAAGCACUUUCAGCGGGGAGGAAGGCGAUAAGGUUAAUAACCUUGUCGAUUGACGUUACCCGCAGAAGAAGCACCGGCUAACUCCGUGCCAGCAGCCGCGGUAAUACGGAGGGUGCAAGCGUUAAUCGGAAUUACUGGGCGUAAAGCGCACGCAGGCGGUCUGUCAAGUCGGAUGUGAAAUCCCCGGGCUCAACCUGGGAACUGCAUUCGAAACUGGCAGGCUAGAGUCUUGUAGAGGGGGGUAGAAUUCCAGGUGUAGCGGUGAAAUGCGUAGAGAUCUGGAGGAAUACCGGUGGCGAAGGCGGCCCCCUGGACAAAGACUGACGCUCAGGUGCGAAAGCGUGGGGAGCAAACAGGAUUAGAUACCCUGGUAGUCCACGCCGUAAACGAUGUCGAUUUGGAGGUUGUGCCCUUGAGGCGUGGCUUCCGGAGCUAACGCGUUAAAUCGACCGCCUGGGGAGUACGGCCGCAAGGUUAAAACUCAAAUGAAUUGACGGGGGCCCGCACAAGCGGUGGAGCAUGUGGUUUAAUUCGAUGCAACGCGAAGAACCUUACCUGGUCUUGACAUCCACAGAACUUGCAGAGAUGGCUUGGUGCCUUCGGGAACUGUGAGACAGGUGCUGCAUGGCUGUCGUCAGCUCGUGUUGUGAAAUGUUGGGUUAAGUCCCGCAACGAGCGCAACCCUUAUCCUUUGUUGCCAGCGGUUAGGCCGGGAACUCAAAGGAGACUGCCAGUGAUAAACUGGAGGAAGGUGGGGAUGACGUCAAGUCAUCAUGGCCCUUACGACCAGGGCUACACACGUGCUACAAUGGCAUAUACAAAGAGAAGCGACCUCGCGAGAGCAAGCGGACCUCAUAAAGUAUGUCGUAGUCCGGAUUGGAGUCUGCAACUCGACUCCAUGAAGUCGGAAUCGCUAGUAAUCGUAGAUCAGAAUGCUACGGUGAAUACGUUCCCGGGCCUUGUACACACCGCCCGUCACACCAUGGGAGUGGGUUGCAAAAGAAGUAGGUAGCUUAACCUUCGGGAGGGCGCUUACCA
rnacentral:rRNA from 1 species